rnacentral:lncRNA from 1 species
ACUUUUAUCAUAUUUGGUAUUGACUGUUGUAUUAAUCCGACAAAGAAGACAGAGGGGAUUCAAAUAAUCCUAAUCGAUGUCUAACCUAUGAAACAAACUCUUUUAAUUUUCUUCAAACGACUACUCGCAUUGAGCACACAAAUUAAAAGUGAAACCACUUAAACCCCAUUAACUGCUUUUCUAGCAACAAAACCCGUCAUACCAAAUCACAUAUUUUCUUGUUGUGAAAUAGGUAUAGUGAAUUUCUUAGUUGAUGACAUUCAUGUAGAGACGAUAACUUACUACUUUGUUCCAUGUUAGGUUUG